rnacentral:hammerhead_ribozyme from 1 species
CACUGCUGACGAGUCCAAAACAGGACGAAACGGCUGUCCAAGUC